GCUUAAAGCGUACGUAGGCGGAGAUGCAGGCAUCGAGUGAAAUCCCUCGGCUCAACCGAGGAACUGCUCGGUGAACCGCAUCUCUUGAGACAGGUAGAGGUGUUCGGAACGCUAGGUGGAGUGGUGAAAUGCGUUGAUAUCUAGCGGAACGCCAAAGGAGAAAUCAGGCAACUGGGCCUGUUCUGACGCUGAGGUACGAAAGCGUGGGGAGCGAACGGGAUUAGAUACCCCGGUAGUCCACGCCGUAAACGAUGUGCACUAGGUCGUGGGGGUACUGACGCCGCCCUCGGCCGAAGCGAAAGUGUUAAGUGCACCGCCUGGGGAGUACGGUCGCAAGGCUAAAACUCAAAGGAAUUGACGGGGGCUCACACAAGCGGUGGAGCAUGUGGCUUAAUUCGAAGCAACGCGAAGAACCUUAUCCUGGGUUUGACAUGUAUGGAUUAACUCCCUGAAAGGGGAGCCACGCCUUCGGGUGGAACAUACACAGGUGCUGCAUGGCUGUCGUCAGCUCGUGCUGUGAAGUGUCGGGUUAAGUCCCUUAACGAGCGCAACCCCUAUCGCUAGUUGCCAACAGGUUAUGCUGGGGACUCUAGCGAGACUGCCGGUGUCAAACCGGAGGAAGGUGGGGAUGACGUCAAGUCCGCAUGGCCUUUAUGCCCAGGGCUGCACACGUGCUACAAUGGCGAGUACAGAGCGACGCAAUACCGCGAGGUGGAGCAAAUCGCAAAAAGCUCGCCCCAGUUCAGAUUGCAGGCUGCAAUUCGCCUGCAUGAAGUCGGAAUCGCUAGUAAUCGGAGAUCAGCUACGCUCCGGUGAAUACGUUCCUGAGCCUUGUACACACCGCCCGUCAAGUCAUGGAAGCUGGCAGCGCCCGAAGUCGCCCCGAUUCAGGGGUGCCCACGGCGAGGCUGGUGACUGGGACUAAGUCGUAACAAGGUAGCCGUAGGGGAACCUGCGGCUGGAUCACCU
rnacentral:rRNA from 1 species